AGUCGAGCGGUAGCACAGAGAGCUUGCUCUCGGGUGACGAGCGGCGGACGGGUGAGUAAUGUCUGGGAAACUGCCUGAUGGAGGGGGAUAACUACUGGAAACGGUAGCUAAUACCGCAUAACGUCGCAAGACCAAAGUGGGGGACCUUCGGGCCUCAUGCCAUCAGAUGUGCCCAGAUGGGAUUAGCUGGUAGGUGGGGUAACGGCUCACCUAGGCGACGAUCCCUAGCUGGUCUGAGAGGAUGACCAGCCACACUGGAACUGAGACACGGUCCAGACUCCUACGGGAGGCAGCAGUGGGGAAUAUUGCACAAUGGGCGCAAGCCUGAUGCAGCCAUGCCGCGUGUGUGAAGAAGGCCUUCGGGUUGUAAAGCACUUUCAGCGGGGAGGAAGGCGAUAAGGUUAAUAACCUUGUCGAUUGACGUUACCCGCAGAAGAAGCACCGGCUAACUCCGUGCCAGCAGCCGCGGUAAUACGGAGGGUGCAAGCGUUAAUCGGAAUUACUGGGCGUAAAGCGCACGCAGGCGGUCUGUCAAGUCGGAUGUGAAAUCCCCGGGCUCAACCUGGGAACUGCAUUCGAAACUGGCAGGCUAGAGUCUUGUAGAGGGGGGUAGAAUUCCAGGUGUAGCGGUGAAAUGCGUAGAGAUCUGGAGGAAUACCGGUGGCGAAGGCGGCCCCCUGGACAAAGACUGACGCUCAGGUGCGAAAGCGUGGGGAGCAAACAGGAUUAGAUACCCUGGUAGUCCACGCUGUAAACGAUGUCGAUUUGGAGGUUGUGCCCUUGAGGCGUGGCUUCCGGAGCUAACGCGUUAAAUCGACCGCCUGGGGAGUACGGCCGCAAGGUUAAAACUCAAAUGAAUUGACGGGGGCCCGCACAAGCGGUGGAGCAUGUGGUUUAAUUCGAUGCAACGCGAAGAACCUUACCUGGUCUUGACAUCCACAGAACUUUCCAGAGAUGGAUUGGUGCCUUCGGGAACUGUGAGACAGGUGCUGCAUGGCUGUCGUCAGCUCGUGUUGUGAAAUGUUGGGUUAAGUCCCGCAACGAGCGCAACCCUUAUCCUUUGUUGCCAGCGGUUAGGCCGGGAACUCAAAGGAGACUGCCAGUGAUAAACUGGAGGAAGGUGGGGAUGACGUCAAGUCAUCAUGGCCCUUACGACCAGGGCUACACACGUGCUACAAUGGCAUAUACAAAGAGAAGCGACCUCGCGAGAGCAAGCGGACCUCAUAAAGUAUGUCGUAGUCCGGAUUGGAGUCUGCAACUCGACUCCAUGAAGUCGGAAUCGCUAGUAAUCGUAGAUCAGAAUGCUACGGUGAAUACGUUCCCGGGCCUUGUACACACCGCCCGUCACACCAUGGGAGUGGGUUGCAAAAGAAGUAGGUAGCUUAAC
rnacentral:rRNA from 2 species